UACGUAGGUAGCGAGCGUUGUCCGGAUUUACUGGGCGUAAAGAGCGCGCAGGCGGUCGUACAAGUCGCGUGUGAAAGCCCCCGGCUCAACUGGGGAGGGUCACGCGAUACUGUUCGACUCGAAGGCAGGAGAGGGUAGUGGAAUUCCCGGUGUAGUGGUGAAAUGCGUAGAUAUCGGGAGGAACACCAGUGGCGAAGGCGACUACCUGGCCUGUUCUUGACGCUGAGGCGCGAAAGCUAGGGUAGCAAACGGG
rnacentral:rRNA from 1 species